rnacentral:tRNA from 1 species
GACUGUGGCUUAGUGGUAGAGCACUUGCCUAACAUGUGUGAGGCACUGGGUUCGAUUCUCAGCACCA